UACGUAGGGUGCGAGCGUUAAUCGGAAUUACUGGGCGUAAAGCGUGCGCAGGCGGUUCGUGAUGUCUGGUGUGAAAGCCCCGGGCUUAACCUGGGAAUUGCAUUGGAAACUAGCGGGCUGGAGUGUGGCAGAGGGGGGUGGAAUUCCACGUGUAGCAGUGAAAUGCGUAGAGAUGUGGAGGAACACCGGUGGCGAAGGCGGGUCUCUGGGCAGUAACUGACGCCGAGGAGCGAAAGCGUGGGGAGCGAACAGG
rnacentral:rRNA from 1 species